GUCCUUUUGAUUAUAAUUUAAGGUCUAACCUGCCCAAUGAAAUUUUAAAUGGCCGCAGUAUUUUGACUGUGCAAAGGUAGCAUAAUCAUUAGUUUCUUAAUUAGAAGCUUGUAUGAAUGGUUGAACGAGAAACUUUCUGUCUCAAUUUAUAUAUUAAAAUUUUAUUUUUAAGUCAAAAAGCUUAAAUAAUUUUAUAAGACGAGAAGACCCUAUAGAGUUUUAUAAUUAAUAAGAUUUAUAUUUUAGAAUUUAUUAUAUUUUAAAUAUUAUUUUAUUGGGGUGAUAUAUAAAUUUAAUUAACUUUAUAUUAUUUUAUACAUAAAUAUAUGAAUUUUUGAUCCAUUUUUUAUGAUUAUAAGAAAAAAUUACCUUAGGGAUAACAGCGUAAUUUUUUUUUAGAGUUCAAAUCGAAAAAAAAGUUUGCGACCUCGAUGUUGGAUUAAAAUUAAUUUUUGGUGUAGAAGCUAUAAAAUUAGGUCUGUUCGACCUUUAAAAUUUUACAUGAUCUGAGUUUAAACCGGUGUAAGCCAGGUUGGUUUCUAUCUUUAAAAAAAUUAAAUAUUUUAGUACGAAAGGACCAAAUAUUUUUAAUAUUUAAUUAUUUUAGAAUA
rnacentral:rRNA from 1 species